GUACACAAAAAUGCACAUAUUGUGAGCUCGAUGAGUAGGGCGGGACACGUGGUAUCCUGUCUGAAUAUGGGGGGACCAUCCUCCAAGGCUAAAUACUCCUGACUGACCGAUAGUGAACCAGUACCGUGAGGGAAAGGCGAAAAGAACCCCGGCGAGGGGAGUGAAAAAGAACCUGAAACCGUGUACGUACAAGCAGUGGGAGCCUCUUUAUGGGGUGACUGCGUACCUUUUGUAUAAUGGGUCAGCGACUUAUAUUCUGUAGCAAGGUUAACCGAAUAGGGGAGCCGAAGGGAAACCGAGUCUUAACUGGGCGUUAAGUUGCAGGGUAUAGACCCGAAACCCGGUGAUCUAGCCAUGGGCAGGUUGAAGGUUGGGUAACACUAACUGGAGGACCGAACCGACUAAUGUUGAAAAAUUAGCGGAUGACUUGUGGCUGGGGGUGAAAGGCCAAUCAAACCGGGAGAUAGCUGGUUCUCCCCGAAAGCUAUUUAGGUAGCGCCUCGUGAAUUCAUCUCCGGGGGUAGAGCACUGUUUCGGCAAGGGGGUCAUCCCGACUUACCAACCCGAUGCAAACUGCGAAUACCGGAGAAUGUUAUCACGGGAGACACACGGCGGGUGCUAACGUCCGUCGUGAAGAGGGAAACAACCCAGACCGCCAGCUAAGGUCCCA
rnacentral:rRNA from 1 species